rnacentral:lncRNA from 1 species
GCAAGUGCAAUUAAGCCCUCUUUGCUUUGCUUACCAAAAAGAAAAAAAAGUUAGGCCUUCUAAUAUGUGUCGAUAUCUCCAAAGUAACCGCCCUAUGUUUUUUAUGAUGACUAGAAAAACCACUUUGCUAGCCUAGAUCUUUGUUUUUCUCGAUAUAACUUUUUGGCAGGUAUUCAUGUUAGUUCAAUUACACUUUUAUCAAGACUUGCAUGUGUAUUUGUUUCUAUUAAACCCAAUCAAAACCUCUGCUCCUAAUCAAAGUGGCAUUUAAUUUCAUAACAACUACUCAUUUCUUUCUCUGAGUUUCAAUUUUCUAGUAUUCCAAAACCAAGAAAGAAGCUGCAUGAUUCAAUGGUAUGUAUGUCACUCUUAAUUCUUCUCCUUAUUCUUCUUCUGCUUCAACAUUAGCCUUAUGUAUGAGACUUUUCCAUUUUCUGAAUUGUUUGUUUUGGUUUUAGUUUUGAGUUCACUUUUUUGUAAGGAACGUGUAAAAAAAAUUAUUGUAGAGCCACCAUUUUGGCGGAGUCAGGAUUUUUAUCAUGAAAAUUCAAAAUGUAAACAAGUACUAUACACAAAAGGAAUUUAGAUGAACCUCUUGUAUGCGCCGUUACCUUUAGUUUUAAUUUAUAUGAUGUAGAUUGAAUAAAGAUAGAGUUUAAGAAAAAGAAAGAAGGAGAAGAUUUGAAAUCUAUGUUUUAUAAAUUAAAUAUGGCAUAACGUAUGUGUAUGAUUAAAAAGUUUUUGGAAUUAUUUAUGUUUUUCAACAUGUCUUAGUAACAUAUUUGUCUAGCUAAGAAAUCUCUGUCAUUAAGGUAAAAAUGAAAAAUUUAAGUUAAAUUGUUUCCAAAUUGUUAAAAAAUUAGACAUUUUAUCAUUCUUUUUGUAAUGAUAGGAAUACUCCUACUUAACUAAUAAUUAUAGAUAAAUGGGAUUUAACAACUUUUGAAAAUGCAGAUUACGUGCUAUAGCAAGUUAAUUACUCCUAAUAUACACUUAUAAUGUAAAAAAUAUUUGUAGAUGCAUCAAUGUACAUAAAUUGAAUCUUAAUAGUUUUUCAAGCUCUAAUAAAUUUUUUAUAUAUGCUUUUUUGUAACUAAAAAAAUGUUGUAAUUAACUGCAGCUUAUCGUGACAAUGAUGUUUGGAUCUGUAGCAAGAACGACAAGGGCAUUUAUGAUCCAACCGGUUUCAACCUUGACAACAUUGUUGUACUACAGCGAUCGCCUCCCUCGUAACCUCAAUUUGGACCGGCUGGUUCGUAAUGACUUGGUUGAUAGUGGAAACUAUUUGUUUCGUUUCCUUAUUCACUUUUUGAGAUGUUUUUGGUAGUUUCAUUUUCACUUAAUUAACUGAAGGGGAGCGUUAGAGCAAUAAUCAAGUUAUCUUCAUGAGCGGUA